rnacentral:rRNA from 1 species
UGGUGAUGAUGGCGGAGGGGUUCCACUCGUUCCCAUCCCGAACACGACCGUUAAGCCCUCCAGCGCCGAUGGUACUUGGACCGAAGGGUCCUGGGAGAGUAGGACGUCGCCA